UGGAUCCAGACUUUGAUCCUGGCUCAGGAUGAACGCUAGCUACAGGCUUAACACAUGCAAGUCGAGGGGCAGCAUGGUCUUAGCUUGCUAAGACUGAUGGCGACCGGCGCACGGGUGAGUAACACGUAUCCAACCUGCCGUCUACUCUUGGACAGCCUUCCGAAAGGAAGAUUAAUACAAGAUGGCAUCAUGAGUCCGCAUGUUCACAUGAUUAAAGGUAUUCCGGUAGACGAUGGGGAUGCGUUCCAUUAGAUAGUAGGCGGGGUAACGGCCCACCUAGUCUUCGAUGGAUAGGGGUUCUGAGAGGAAGGUCCCCCACAUUGGAACUGAGACACGGUCCAAACUCCUACGGGAGGCAGCAGUGAGGAAUAUUGGUCAAUGGGCGAGAGCCUGAACCAGCCAAGUAGCGUGAAGGAUGACUGCCCUAUGGGUUGUAAACUUCUUUUAUAAAGGAAUAAAGUCGGGUAUGCAUACCCGUUUGCAUGUACUUUAUGAAUAAGGAUCGGCUAACUCCGUGCCAGCAGCCGCGGUAAUACGGAGGAUCCGAGCGUUAUCCGGAUUUAUUGGGUUUAAAGGGAGCGUAGAUGGAUGUUUAAAUCAGUUGUGAAAGUUUGCGGCUCAACCGUAAAAUUGCAGUUGAUACUGGAUAUCUUGAGUGCAGUUGAGGCAGGCGGAAUUCGUGGUGUAGCGGUGAAAUGCUUAGAUAUCACGAAGAACUCCGAUUGCGAAGGCAGCCUGCUAAGCUGCAACUGACAUUGAGGCUCGAAAGUGUGGGUAUCAAACAGGAUUAGAUACCCUGGUAGUCCACACGGUAAACGAUGAAUACUCGCUGUUUGCGAUAUACGGCAAGCGGCCAAGCGAAAGCGUUAAGUAUUCCACCUGGGGAGUACGCCGGCAACGGUGCAACUCAAAUGAAUUGACGGGA
rnacentral:rRNA from 1 species